rnacentral:rRNA from 1 species
UUGAACGCUGGCGGCAUGCUUGACACAUGCAAGUCGAACGGCAGCAUGACUUGGCUUGCCAAGUUGAUGGCGAGUGGCGAACGGGUGAGUAACGCGUAGGAAUAUGCCUUGAAGUGGGGGAUAACUUGGGGAAACUCAAGCUAAUACCGCAUAAUAUCUUAGGAUGAAAGCUGGGGACCUUAGGGCCUGGUGCUUUAAGAUUAGCCUGCGUCCGAUUAGCUAGUUGGUAGGGUAAGGGCCUACCAAGGCGACGAUCGGUAGCUGGUCUGAGAGGAUGGCCAGCCACACUGGAACUGAGACACGGUCCAGACUCCUACGGGAGGCAGCAGUGGGGAAUAUUGGACAAUGGGGGCAACCCUGAUCCAGCAAUGCCGCGUGUGUGAAGAAGGCCUGAAGGUUGUAAAGCACUUUCAGUGGGGAGGAGGGUUGACAGGUUAAGAGCUAGUUAACUGGACGUUACCACAGAAGAAGCACCGGCUAACUCCGUGCCAGCCGCCGCAGUAA